UUUUGUUGGGAGAAGAGGCAUCAUGGGAAGAAAGCUGUCCUUUGUAGGUGGGAGAAGCCAUCUUUUUAGAAGUUAGCCAUUCUUAUGAACAAGUAAUCUCCCAGACUCCUAUGCAAGCAGCAGGACAUCAGUGACCUACCUGACCCUCCAAAACACUAAAGAAGCGUGCUUCAUUGAUGAAGUAGCUUUGUCUAUCAAGGACACCAAAAGGCAGGUUAUAUAUUGUCAGUUCACAACAGGAAGUAGGUAAGUGAGUUGAAGAGGGAGGAGCACAACUUUGACAACUUCUAGGUCCAGGCUUCACUGUGAGUCACAUGCAGGAACCUGAGACCGUAGGAAAUGGAGCAGCCCUGUGUCUGGAGACAUAAAGUGAAGCAUAUAGAAAGAGAAAGAAAGAAAGAAGA